AGACAAUGGUCCGCAAUUCGCUUGCAGAGAAUUUGCAAAGUUUGCAAAAGAACAUGGAUUUGUCCAUACAAUAAUUAGUCCACAUUAUCCACAGUCAAAUGGAAAAGCAGAAAGAUUCAAGAAGAGCAAAGAUCCAUACAAAGCCAUGUUGGAUUAUAGGACCACACCUUUAGAUGAAAUUGAAUAAUCACCAGCACAAUUACUUAUUGAACGACGUUUAUAGUCAAGUCUUCCAACUUCAGCGCAACUUUUGAAACCAACUUUUCUAAAUGAACAGAAAGUUAAAAAAAACUAUAUAACAAAAGACAACAAACUCAAGAAUACUAUUUCAACAAACACAGUGCAAAACCGUUGAUAGAACUAAAAGACAACGAGACAGUUAUAAUUCAACACAACAAUCAGAUAACUAGUUAUCAAAGGUACCGGGA
rnacentral:lncRNA from 1 species